rnacentral:rRNA from 1 species
CAGCAGCCGCGGUAAUACCGGCGGCCCGAGUGGCGGUCACUAUUAUUGGGCUUAAAGCGUCCGUAGCCGGGUUGGGAAGUCCUCCGGGAAAUCUGGCCGCUUAACGGUCAGAAUUCCGGGAGAUACUGCCAGCCUAGGGACCGGGAGAGGCCGAGGGGAUUCCCGGGGUAGGGGUGGAAUCCUAUAAUCCCGGGAGGACCACCUGUGGCGAAGGCGCUCGGCUGGAACGGGUCCGACGGGGAGGGACGAAGGCCAGGGGAGCAAACCGGAUUAGAUACCCGGGUAGUCCUGGCUGUAAACGAUGCGGACUUUGUGUCGGACAAGCUAUGAGCUUGUCCGGUGCCGGAGGGAAACCGUUAAGUCCGCCGCCUGGGGAGUACGGCCGCAAGGCUGAAACUUAAAGGAAUUGGCGGG